AGCCUUCUCCUCCCUCCACCACUUCCUCCCCCAGGAAGUCUGAGGCUGUCUCCGGGAGAGCACUGACCGGUGGGUGCCUCUGCAGUGCAGCCAGAGCCCGGCACCAGGCCCGGAGAAGCAGGAGGCCGCUCACUGUGGGGAAACAGGGUUGCCUUUCUUCCCAUCCUAGAGAUUUCUCUCUUGAGUACAAACCCACCACAGGAACAAGUCAUCCAGACUUUGGGGAUGGCACCAGAAGAUCUCAGAAAUGACUGUCUCCCAAGUUAACAAGUGAUUGACACCUCCAGACAGAGAACAGGGGAUGGAGCCUUUGAGCCACCUCUCUAGAAGCCCCCUGUUCCUGCUGAUGGGCAGAACCACCUCUUUGGGACAGGAGUCCCCUGUGUUUCUCUUUUGCUAGCAAAGCAAUAACCCUUUUUCUCAAAACUGAGUCCUCUUCAUUGGAUCGGCAUCAGAGACAAAGGCUGAGAUUUCAGCGACAUUUUGGCACCCCAGAUGGGACCCAGGAGCAGCCCCCACUCCAGCUUUCUUGGGCAGCCCUGGCUCUCUGAGGAACCCCACUUCCAUGCUGAGGAUUCGUGGUCCUGGUGAACUUCUUGGGAGGCAGGAGAGGAAGGAGGCGAGGCGGCUUUGGGUAGAACCUAGGAGCUGUUCUCGAAAGUCAAGGGAGGGACUGGGGGACCGUCCCGGCAGCUGCUGAAGCUCCUUUGGCUUCAGGGAACUCCCGCCCUCUCUCCCUGAAUGGUACGGGGUGCUCCAUCCUGGUCCACUUUGAGAAAAAGGAAACUGAACUUUAGAAACUCGUGACAACUUUGGCCACUUGCCUAUAUUUCGCAACCAGCCCACUCUGUGAAGAGGAACCCCAAUUCCGUCGCCUGCACCGGAUGCGGGAGAGAGUGACCUGUGGUCAAUGUUAUAUAUACAAUUUUGUGCUGCUUUUCACACUGGAAUUGGAAUUUAAAUGCAUUUUUUGGAAGAUGAUAAGGAGAUCCUGAUCUGCUUAAAGGUGACAUUGUAAAACAUGGAGGCAGUCUGCCACUUUUUCCACAAAAAGAAAGUUAAAAGCUCUCUUAGACUUUCCUUGAUUCUUGUUUCCCAUGAAAUGUUGUGUUGUGUUAUUUGUGAAGAGCCCCCCUUGCCUGGGAUAAGGCUCUGCCUCCCACCUUACUCCAUGUCAAAAUGGCUCCAAAAUAAGCCACACUUCAGCUCAUUUAAAGUUGUGUUCAAAAGAUUGACUUUUUUUGUAAGGAUUACUGUGAUCUCCAACAGGGAUUAUAAUAUAUAACUAAGUGAAGGUUCAAGAUUAUAAAAGUCGUUUUUCUUGGUUCAUAGCUCUUACACAAACUGAAUAUAUUUUUGCUCUGUUUAUUUCAUUUUGUGUUUUCCUUGUAAACUUUAUAACUGUUGCCUGUUAGUGUUUUGCAGAGGUUCUGUUUCAAAAAACAAAAAAAAACACCAACCUGGUUUAAUUGGAGGUAAUAAACCUUCACCUACAGGAUAGUAUGUAAUGCUGACUUCCUGUACUAAUACUCAUCCCAAUGAAAUGAAAGGUGUGUCUGUGAAAUUAUAGAUAUUGAAGUUAUAACCUGUUACUCCCUCUUUACGAUUGGCAGAACUGGUUUUAAGUUGGGUGUUUAAAACCAAAAACUUGGAGACCGAAGUCAAGGAAGUAAAAGGACCAAGGGAAAGCAGCCCUGGACAUUUGGCCCCGGCCCUCUAAGGUCAGCCAGGGCCUAGACAACCAUGGGACCCCCUCUGGGCCCUGAAGCUCUGCAUGAUCCCUGCCCUCUGUACGCCUCGUCCCAUCAGGGCCAUCUGCCACUGUGGACCUCUGACUGCUCUGAGGCUGAGUGUCCUUACCUGUCCACACCCCACCUGAUGGAGAACAAGGACUUUGGGUCACUCCCCAACUUCGCCUCCCUUCAGCAGACAGUGGUUUGGAAAUGUUGUCGCCCAUUUCUCCACACAAAUGGAAUGUAGAAAUUGACAGUGAGGAAAUGUAACCAUGGUGUCCUUUAGGCCUUGAAUACAGCCCUUGCCACUGCCA